CCUGAGAAGUCUUCCACCCUCGGGUCGUUGCUGAUUUCCGCGUUCCCAUUCAGGGCAACCCCUUCUCUCCUCCCACUUUUUUGUUUUUUUUAAGGGUUUGGACUGGAUUUCGUCGGUCGGACUCCUUUCCGCUCUUCUACGAGCCAUGGCCGUCUCUGGUACAACUGGAACCUGGAGAGCAAUAAUGCUUGUCCAUUAUAUAGCUUCGUCGGUUGCCUAGUAUCUGUGUUCAGCAGACGUGCCUAGUUUGUUACUUAUUGUUUAUGGCCAUGGAAAGUAUAGCUGUCGCUAUUCUUCUUCAAACCCUUCUCUGGUUAUGGCUGGGUAAUAUAUGUUAUGGUACUGAAACUGAUAUUAAAUGCCUGAAAACAUUACAACAAUCAUUGAAAGACCCCAACAACAUGCUGACAUAUUCGUGGAAAUUUGAUAACUUGACUGAGGGCUUCAUGUGCAAAUUUAAUGGCGUAGAUUGCUGGCAUCCUGAUGAAAGCAGGGUCCUUAAUCUGCAUCUCUCCAACAUGGGUCUUCAAGGACAAUUCCCGUCAGGCCUUGAGUAUUGUACGAGUUUGACUGGACUGGAUCUCUCAAGCAACAACUUUUCUGGACCCAUUCCAGCUGAUAUCUCAAAAAAGCUGCCGUAUGUAACUUCUCUUGAUCUCUCCUAUAACAGUUUCUCAGGUGAAAUUCCAGUGAACCUGUCAAAUUGUACCUACCUUAAUAUCCUCAAUCUUCAACACAACCGACUGUCUGGACAGAUCCCUUGGCAACUGAGCCGUCUUGAUCGAUUGACGACAUUCAGUGUGGCUGACAAUUUGUUGACAGGACCAAUUCCUUCAUUUAAGAAUUCCUUCGAUGCUAUAAACUUCGCAAACAAUAAAGGGCUUUGUGGGAAACCCUUGGAUAAUUGCAAGGGACCUCCAAAGAAAAGCCAUACUGCAGUCAUCAUAGGAGCAGCCAUUGGUGGUGUGCUAUUUACCAUCAUAAUUGUGGGAGUUAUUCUAUUCUAUUGUUUGCGUAACGUGCCUAUCAAGAAAAAGGAAAAGGAUGCUGAUGAAAACAAGUGGGUGAAGAGCAUAAAGGGAGCCAAAGGCAUCAAGGUUUCUAUGUUCGAGGAGUCCAUUUCAAAAAUGAAGUUGAGCGAUCUCAUGAAAGCAACCAAUGAUUUUAGCAAAGAGAACAUCAUUGGUACAGGGAGAACGGGAACUAUGUACAAGGCGAUGCUUUCUGAUGGCUCUUAUCUUGCUGUCAAAAGGCUACAGGAUUCCCAACAUUCUGAAUCACAGUUCACCUCAGAGAUGGCAACAUUAGGAAAUGUAAGGCAUCGCAACUUGGUUCCUCUUCUGGGCUAUUGUGUUGCUAAGAAGGAGAGGUUGUUAGUAUACAAACACAUGCCCAGGGGGACCCUUUUUGAUCAAUUACAUCAGGUGGAUGGCGAGGAGAAAUUAAUGGAAUGGCCACUGAGGCUAAGAAUCAGUAUUGGGGCAGCAAGAGGUCUAGCAUGGCUUCACCAUAGUUGCAACCCCCGCAUCCUUCAUCGUAACAUAAGCUCCAAAUGCAUCCUUCUGGAUGAAGAUUAUGAACCUAAGAUAUCUGACUUUGGACUUGCAAGGCUUAUGAAUCCAGUUGAUACCCAUCUUAGCACUUUCGUCAAUGGUGAGUUUGGUGACUUGGGGUAUGUGGCCCCUGAAUAUGCACGCACUCUGGUGGCAACUCCAAAGGGCGAUGUUUACAGUUUUGGAACAGUUCUACUUGAGCUGGUUACUGGUGAAAGACCAACUCAGGUGUCUAAAGCUCCAGAAAGCUUCAAAGGCAGCUUGGCGGAGUGGAUUACGUAUCUUUCAAACAGUUCUUUUCUUCAGGAUGCCAUUGAUAAGUCCUUAAUAGGAAAGGAUUAUGACAGGGAGCUCCUCCAGUUUUUGAAGGUUGCAUGUUCUUGUGUUCUGUCAGAUCCUAAGGAGAGGCCAACUAUGUUUGAAGUAUACCAGCUCCUAAGAGCUAUCGGGGAAAGAUAUCACUUUACUGCUGAUGAUGAAAUAAUGCUGCAACCUGAGAGUACUGAUGCUGAUUACCUGGAUGAACUUAUUGUGGCACAGUGAGACAGUUGGCUGAAUGCAGAAGAAAAGCAAAUUAUCACUAGUUUUAUGAAUUCUUGUGCUACAACCCCCUUUUUCUAUUCAUGAGAUACACUUUUACCUGCCUUGCACAUGCAUAGCACGUGCUCGAGUCUCGUAAUUGUUUUGCUGAAAGGAGCAAAGCAGCUUAGAUCAAAUUAUCAUAGAUGGAGAGAUCUAUAUGUACUGCCCACUGGCUGUCUUUUGUAUAUCAGAUAAAGAACAGCUGACACUUUGAUUGCGAGAGUUUCAACUUUCUUCGGCAAAUUUCAACAUUGAAAUUGCAUGACAUGAUCUUAUCUGUCACAAUUAAAGCUUGAUAUCCAGCAGUAAAAUGUGGGGAACUUUGCAGGUGCUAUUUGAAAUAUUAAUAUAUUAUAAAGAGAUUUAUGAGACUCACUUGUGCAUCUAGGGACUUGCAGUAAGGGUGUAGACAAAGCACUCUUAAAGCAUAUUUAGUUUUGUUCCAAAUAUGAAAAAAACUGUGUUUCUCUCCCUUUCCCUUU